ensembl:miRNA
GUAAGGAGGGGGAUGAGGGGUCAUGUCUCUUCUCAGGGAAAGCAGGAGCCCUUCUGGAUCAGGGUCAGGGCCCCUCACCUUCCCCUCCUUUCCCAG